rnacentral:tRNA from 1 species
GCGGGUGUAGCUCAAUGGUAGAGUUCUGGCCUUCCAAGCCAGCUGUGAGGGUUCGAUCCCUUCACCUGCUCCA